GGGGGUGUAGCUCAGUGACAGAGCAUCUGCUUUGAGUGCAGAAGGUUCCUGGUUCAAUCCCUGGCAUCUCCA